rnacentral:rRNA from 1 species
GACGAACGCUGGCGGCGUGCCUAAUACAUGCAAGUAGAACGCUGAAGCGAGGAGCUUGCUCUUCUUGGAUGAGUUGCGAACGGGUGAGUAACGCGUAGGUAACCUGCCUUGUAGCGGGGGAUAACUAUUGGAAACGAUAGCUAAUACCGCAUAACAAUGGAUGACACAUGUCAUUUAUUUGAAAGGGGCAAUUGCUCCACUACAAGAUGGACCUGCGUUGUAUUAGCUAGUAGGUGAGGUAAUGGCUCACCUAGGCGACGAUACAUAGCCGACCUGAGAGGGUGAUCGGCCACACUGGGACUGAGACACGGCCCAGACGCCUACGGGAGGCAGCAGUAGGGAAUCUUCGGCAAUGGGGGCAACCCUGACCGAGCAACGCCGCGUGAGUGAAGAAGGGUUUCGGAUCGUAAAGCUCUGUUGUAAGUCAAGAACGGGUGUGAGAGUGGAAAGUUCACACUGUGACGGUAGCUUACCAGAAAGGGACGGCUAACUACGUG